rnacentral:rRNA from 1 species
GCGGUCUUAAACUGCAAGUCCGAGCGAACAGACGAGGAGCUUGCUCCUCUGACGUUAGCGGCGGACGGCUGAGUAACACGUGGAUAACCUACCUAUAAGACUGGGAUAACUUCGGGAAACCGGAGCUAAUACCGGAUAAUAUAUUGAACCGCAUGGUUCAAUAGUGAAAGACGGUUUUGCUGUCACUUAUAGAUGGAUCCGCGCCGCAUUAGCUAGUUGGUAAGGUAACGGCUUACCAAGGCAACGAUGCGUAGCCGACCUGAGAGGGUGAUCGGCCACACUGGAACUGAGACACGGUCCAGACUCCUACGGGAGGCAGCAGUAGGGAAUCUUCCGCAAUGGGCGAAAGCCUGACGGAGCAACGCCGCGUGAGUGAUGAAGGUCUUCGGAUCGUAAAACUCUGUUAUUAGGGAAGAACAAAUGUGUAAGUAACUAUGCACGUCUUGACGGUACCUAAUCAGAAAGCCACGGCUAACUACGUGCCAGCAGCCGCGGUAAUACGUAGGUGGCAAGCGUUAUCCGGAAUUAUUGGGCGUAAAGCGCGCGUAGGCGGUUUUUUAAGUCUGAUGUGAAAGCCCACGGCUCAACCGUGGAGGGUCAUUGGAAACUGGAAAACUUGAGUGCAGAAGAGGAAAGUGGAAUUCCAUGUGUAGCGGUGAAAUGCGCAGAGAUAUGGAGGAACACCAGUGGCGAAGGCGACUUUCUGGUCUGUAACUGACGCUGAUGUGCGAAAGCGUGGGGAUCAAACAGGAUUAGAUACCCUGGUAGUCCACGCCGUAAACGAUGAGUGCUAAGUGUUAGGGGGUUUCCGCCCCUUAGUGCUGCAGCUAACGCAUUAAGCCACUCCGCCUGGGGAGUACGACCGCAAGGUUGAAACUCAAAGGAAUUGACGGGGACCCGCACAAGCGGUGGAGCAUGUGGUUUAAUUCGAAGCAACGCGAAGAACCUUACCAAAUCUUGACAUCCUUUGACAACUCUAGAGAUAGAGCCUUCCCCUUCGGGGGACAAAGUGACAGGUGGUGC